rnacentral:rRNA from 1 species
CCCUUAGAUGUUCUGGGCCGCACGCGCGCUACACUGAUGCAUUCAACGAGUCUAAAACCUGGUCUGAUAGGGCUGGGUAAUCUUUUGAAAGUGCAUCGUGAUUGGGAUAGAUGAUUGCAAUUCUUCAUCUUCAACGAGGAAUGCCUAGUAAACGCAAGUCAUCAGCUUGCAUUGAUUACGUCCCUGCCCUUUGUACACACCGCCCGUCGCCCCUACCGAUUGAAUGAUCCGAUGAAUACCAUGGAUUGAGAGUACGAAUGGGUUCGCUCAUUUCUGCUGCUCGAGAAGUGGAGUAAAUCUUAUCAUUUAGAGGAAGGAGAAGUCGUAACA